rnacentral:ncRNA from 1 species
CAAUGCCAGACCGAGUAAGCGAGAGCCGAAAGCAGGGCGAGAAGAGGAAGGAAGGCGCGACCGUCGGCCUCAGCGCCGUAAAUAUGCACCCCGCGCGGGGAGCCGGACGCUUCUUGCAUGGCCGGGCGCUCCGGCGCUCAGCCCGGUUUCAUGGCCUCCCCGCAAGCGGCUGUUCGAGCGCCAUUGCUAGCCGUGCGGGGUGCCUUCCAUGAACUCAGACGAU